AUCCAGCUGACGAGUUCAACGUAGGACUAAACGCGCGUCCUGGAC
rnacentral:hammerhead_ribozyme from 1 species